UCCCUGGUGGCUGAGAGGUUAAAGCGUCUGCCUGCAAUGCAGGAGACCCAGGUUCGAUCCCUGGAUCAGGAA